rnacentral:lncRNA from 1 species
CAGGCAUGGAGACAACAAUAAGACGAGGAAUAAUUAAAUGAAGCACAAAACACACACUUAAAUAACGUAAAAACCCCAAUAAAUAAAAGCGGUUUUAAAAGCCAAGAGAGAACGAUUGGGUUUCGGUUGGUGAGGUCCUGAUGUGGAGGGGCACACUGCUCCGCAGUUUAGGAGCAAUAAACUGCAAAGGUCCAGAAGCUGGAGCUCAGAACAUCCAGGGAUCGUGUGUGUGUGUGAGUGCGUGUGUGUGCAAAUAUCUCAGGGUAGUAAGUGGACACACUGCAGGUCUCUCUGUGCAGCCUCCUCCGCCUCCUUUUGUUCCUCGCCGACUCUGUCCCUGCGAAAACGUAAUCACCAAUCAAAGGCAGAACAUCGUAUGGAUACAAAGCACUCCAAUACCAACCAGUGUUUAACAGACUCAACCUUUUUCUAACCAGUUUCAAAUGCAGACAUCAUAGAUUUGGCCCCGAAACAUGAAUGACGUGCAUCCUUAGCGUUGUCAGCUGCAAGUGGACUUAGUGUGUCAUCCGUAAAAUAUAUUUAAGUCUUCAAUACAGUUGAGUCCAAUUCUAAAUAUCAUAUUAUACAUACAUUAAAAUUACAUUAUGAAUAUUCUAUCGAGCCACUAUGGUGUGAAUUUACCUCAGUCUCUCGGUUAAUAACAGUCAAAGAUAAAUGUCUACCCUCACCAUUACAGUUUAAAGCGUCUUUUUAGGUUAUUGGAAAUCCCGCGCUGUGUAAUCUGUACAUGAAAGAAUCGAGUCCCCUUCCCAAAUAUUAAUGUGAUGCUGCUGCGCAUGUAUGCGCCGACUGAAGCUCCGACCAAAGCCAACAGACUGGGGCAAAGCCAAAGAACGUCCAGGCAGCUUGAAGCAGAUGACAAGACUGAAGAUGCAGUAGAUGGAUAGAUGAAUAGUCGUAGACUAGGUCAUAAUAGUGACUUUUAAAGCUAAGGUUUUUAACAUUAUUCUGUAUGACAAUGGCCACAUGAGACCACUGGACAGGAGAACUCCAAUAUGAUUCAGUACAGUCUGAAAAGCCUGGUGGUAAGAGACCUGUGAGGAUGGUACGGUGGCCCUAUUAUUAAAGGAGUAGUAUUUACUGUACCAACUGCAUUUAGAAAGGAAAAGAAAUUACAAAAUUAAGUGCAACUUAAAUAUUUGCUUGCGGUCUUCACAUUCGACAAUAAAAUGUUUGAAACGACGAGGGCUUUAAUUUGGUCCAUGUCACACAAAAUUCUUCGAUGCGCUCCCUAUAUUGGAAUAUGAAAACAAAACUAACCGGAUCAAAUGUCAACAAUGUUACAAAGACAUGAACCUAAGUCUGGACCUUGGUCCGGACCUGCUGGUGCAAAAACACCCUCAAUUUGUAAUUUCACUUUAAGUGAGCAAAAAAAAAAAUGUCACUGCUUUUCUUUGAACUUAAGGUUAUUACAAUAAAAAAAACUGCAUAAUGUGAGGAGGUGAAUUAAUGACAAAGAUCAAGGUGUAAAAGGAUUCAACAAUUUCAGAUGACGAGUCCGAUUACGUGUAUCUGGGUGAUGUACAGUGUGUGUGUGUGUGUGUGUGUGUGUGUGUGUGUGUGUGUGUGUGUGUGUGUGUGUUUGUUUUCGAAGGAUGUAAGGAGCUAUUUAGGGAGCCCUCUGUGUAGUAUGUGGUAAUCCGGUUAUUACACAUCUCAAUGUGAUAUUCACAGAGCUCUGCUCAGCACAAGGCCUCUGGCACAGAUUAUGCCCAUUACAUGCAGACACACACACACAAAACAUCAACAAAGGACAGGCCAACACUCAGUUUCUGAUAUAUGACACACCGCCUCUCUCCGCCUCACACACACAUUAACACAUUAAGCAGCACAUUAAGGCCGCCGACACCCAACACGCUGUCAGAGUUAAAGUCGUUCUGCUGGCUAACGAUCCAUUACACACUCCACGUAUCCCACAGCGAGCGCGACUGACGGAACCCAAAAAGGAGGGAUUACCCCCCGUGGUGACCGCCGCAAUGGUAUAGGGGUGUAGGGAUGUGGACAGGGCAAUGGAUUACAUGCCUAUCAUGGUGAAAAGAAACAGUCACCAGGGCUGCGCGGGGAAAAAGUGAAUUUUGCUUUCAGGAAGGGACAUUUAAGUUGUGGAUAGUUCUUCUUAAGCGCCACGCCGCGGCGACAUGUUAACACUUCCAGUAACAAUAACGUACAGACUUGAGUGUACUCAUGAGGAUUAGUUCAUGCACAUUGUGUGCCUUCAGCAACCAGAGUUAUCAGAUUAGUUUAGUUGAAGUUUAGUGUUUGUGUGUGUUUGUGUUUGUGUGUGUGUUUACCCACCGUGUCAGUCACUGACUCCCAUGCUGAGUUCGACUUCCACUGUUCAUUUCACCACACGAUGAAGCCCGAUGCGUCCCUGUUUCCGAAAUAGACAUGAGAGGAGGCUUAUGCUUGUGACCCUUUUUUUGAAAAACCAUGAUUACUUUAAUAGCUCAUACUUCUUCAAACACUACGACGAUUGCCGCCGAUACAGCCGUGUUUGAUUAUCAUGAUCAAAUGCACAGUAAGAUGUUGAUCAAACCACGGUGGUGUUUUUUGCAUGCAGGACUUGUGCUACACACGCACUGCAACAUUUGUUCCAAAACGCGUCAC